GUGUUUAGACGAUGUACAGCUGAUGUUGACUGAUACAGCUAAAAGAAGCUCCACUGUCAACUAAACAUCUCACUUGAUGGUUCUCUAGUCCAAUUUCGACAAAGUUCCUCUCCAUGGUUGUAGUAAACUGGAAACUUGCUGUUCCUGGUAUUACACUGGAUAGCCUGGCACAUCUGUCUUUUUGGCAGCACCAUCCUUUUGAAAUUCUCUUUCUACCCAUGAUGAAAUUUCUAUUCCAAUUACCAAACUGAAACUAAAAGUAUUUUUUGUCAGUAUAUUGUUUAUGUUCUAUUCUCUCAUACCUUAAGUUACUCA
rnacentral:lncRNA from 1 species